CCGUGAUGUCUACAACUUGUUAAACUGGGCUUUACCCUCAAAACUGCAAAAUACAAUAACCCCUUUUCCUCUUAAACCCAACACUAAAAUUCCAAGAUUCUUGUGAUGGGGUCUCUGUUUUUGUUGAUAGAUUGCUACUAUCGAAGAAAAAAAAGAAGAAAUUUGGUGGUUGUUGUUGAUAAUAAGGGAGUAGAGCAGAGAGAUGUGGGUAUUUAUAUAGAAAAUUGUAGAAGGGAUAAUGGAGGAUUGGAA
rnacentral:misc_RNA from 1 species